UCAAAGACAUCCAACACUAGCAUAGCUCUCAUACUAAGCAAUCUACCGAGUCAGUGAUUCCAAAAGAUAGCCAGCCAGUCCAUCGAUAAUUCUGUCGUCUAGGCUAUGGACCACUAAUUGUUUAGGGAAAUUUUCUUUGAUCUUUUUUGGGUUUCAAAACAAUGUGGGGGAUGGGGCUGCUUUCCUCGUCCUGCAGAAACUAACAACAUGGUAAUUCUUUGCAUUCCAUUUCCAGUUGUUCUUAGUGAGAUACUUUUGGUCCACCCUAGCAUUUCUUGGCAAGUCUUGUUAGCAUUGCCCAUUUGAUGUAACGGUUAAGAGUGCUACUGCCUGAUUCGUAUUACACAAUUCUGGAAGCAGGUAGGUUUCUUGGAAAAAUUUUCUGGUAGUCCACUAGUGAAGCACUUCUUCAACGAAGAAAAUGGAUAAAGAGAGCACUUCUACACAUAAGCAAUGAAGCACCAACUAAUAUUCCCAUGGAAUUCUGUACGUAAUAUGUUUAACAUCUUUGCAGUUCCCAAGGCCUUUAACUGGAUUAUUUAUCGAGAGGUAAGAAUCACACUGUGGUGUCACCGCCAGACACCACGCUUGCUAGGUGGUAGCCUUUAAAUCGGCAGCGGUCCAGUAGUAUACGUCGGACCCGCAUGUCGCCACUAUCAAUGAUUGCAGACCGAGCGCCGCCACACAGCAGGUCUAGAGAGACUUCCUAGCACUCGUCCCAGUUGUACAGCCGACUUUGCUAGCGAUGGUUCACUGACAAAUUACGCUCUCAUUUGCCGAGACGAUAGUUAGCAUAGCCUUCAGCUACGUUAUUUGCUACGACCAAGCAAGGCGCCAGUAUCCGUACUAUUGAUAUUGUGAAUCAUGUACCAUAAAGAGCGAUGUUCUCCAUGAAUGGAUUAAAGUUAAGUAUUCCACCAGCUACGUCCGUUUUUCUCAGUUCUAAUGCCCUUGUCAUGUUCCAGACCUCACGCCAGCCUGUGUGAGCUGAGACGCAUGCAUUUCGGCCUCCUUUAGUACCAAGUAGUUGGCUCUCCUGCCAGCCACAACAUUGGUGACAAGACAAUACCGCGUUCUUUUCUAAAGUGCCCUGACUUACUUGUGUAAUGGCUUCGCCACAAUCUCCAGAUGUACUGUCCGAAUUUUAUCGCUUACAGAAUCAGCAGACGCAGGCCUUACUGGAUGCCCUUGGAGAGCUUGUCCAGGGUCAACGUGCGAUGCAAAACGGUGCGGCGGAAGCCGCUUCACCGCUAACGCAGCCACAACACGCUGUUGCACCCACUUUUCGACCUUUUGAUGCUGCACUGGAAAGCUGGACGGAGUGGUUACAGCAAUUUGGAUUCCAUCUUGCCGCCUACAGAAUUCAAGAAGAUGUGACAUCCUCACAAGACUGGAUCCAGUGACAGCAUCUGGAAGGACACGCUCUCUCCCUGCAUCAAAUCUGAUGAACGUUAACAAUUUAUUUUGGAGACUUGUGAAAAGAGCUGUAACCAUUUUUUAUUGUCUUUUCGUUAAAGCUACACUGUAAAUGGUUCAUAAUACCAAUACAAUAAUAGAAACCAUAUUUUUGUACAUGACUUCCAAAUUGCAUUUAUUAGUAAUUUGUCUUUCAUUUUUAUGUGAUAUCUUCUGCGUUUUGAUAGUGUACUGAUGCUGACAAAAUAAAGUUUUGGUCAUGAUGCCUUUAGUGUGAUAUCUUGAUAUUUACCAUGUCUAUAGUGAAAUAUAUGAAUAACACAUUAUAUUUUUUUAAAAAAAAAUGUUACAGUGCGGUGUUUUGAGAUAUUUAAUGUCAAAGGUUAAGGUCAAUGACCUUUAAUGUGAAAAUUCUUAAAAAACCACCAUGUUGCAUAUCAAUGUAAAGAUCUAAUCAUUAGCUUUACAAUGAUGUUUCUUUGCUGUAUCUGGAUUGCAACCAGGACUAUAGUCAUUAUGUUGAGAUAGAUACUUGUAAAUUUCACACAACUUCCAAACUUUUACAGACCUGAAACAUUCUCCAUAGUCGUCAUAUACCUCUGCAAAUAGAUAAUUUUCCAUGUCUUAUGCAGACCAUAGAAUGCACCAAAUUUGAAAGAAAUUCGAGAUGGUCUCGUUGAAAAUUUUACUUUUCUAUGUUGAAUUGACAUAGUAUUACCAAUAGAUAUAUUUAACAUAAGAGUGGGAUACAAAGGGAGAAGAAGUUACAUAUCAUGUACCACCUCAGACUGUAUGCCCAGGGACCUCAAUACAUGGGAAUGAAAAUCUGUAAUAAAUUAAAAGGUAACAAGUUGAUGCAGGUGAAUUUAGGUUCACUUAAAAGAAAGCAGUAUGAGGUACUGACACUGAAGUGUUAAUACUCAGUGGAUAAAGUCAUGUGGGACAAACUGGAAAUAUGAGCUGGGUAGAAUGUGUUACACAGUCCAAGAAAUAUCCUUAUUGUGUUGUUAUUUAUUAUAGUGCUGUUAUUUAUUAAUGUAAAAAUCAUUGUAAUUGUUUUAUAAAUUUUUGACAUGUCUCCUGUACGGAAACCAAAUGGAUUGCAAAUGUACAUCAGUAGAUGAAUAAAUACAGUUCACAAAUCUACAA